rnacentral:lncRNA from 1 species
AUAUCCCAGUAACAUUUAUGAGGAUAAUUAAAAGUAAAAAGAUAAUAGAAUGUCACAGUCUUUAAAAUAUAUUCAGGUACACUGUCAUUAAAAAUAUUUUAAAUGCAUAUAAAAAUACUAAGAGUAGGGAUAUUCAUGUAUUAACAAUAGAAAUGAUUUUAUUUAUAAAUUAUCCAAAUUUUCUGCAAUGUAGUUAUAUUACUUUUGUCAUUUAUAACAAAUUUAAAAUAUCAUGAAAAGAAAUACACAGUCACAAGUGAAAACAAUCCUGGUUGAGGAGUGACCAACCCCAGGGGAAGGGUGGUCAUCCUCCCCCUCACCCCCACCUUCUGAUAAAGAAGGAAAAUCCUGACCUACAGUGUCAUUAUUCAUCACAUCCCAGCUACUCUGGGGGACACUGGGGAGAGGAGUACAAAGCCAUACCGCAGCAGCGUCCUCAGGGAUCUCGCAGUUCAGUUGCAGAGAGAGAAUAAAAUAACGUGUAUACACAAUUUUAAAUGAAGUGUCCUCCAACAGUAGCAGAGGACUCCAUUAAUUAAUGAGAUGAAGUGUCAAGAAACUGACCCUAGCCUCUGCAAUUCACUACAUAUUUAUAGAUGUUCUCUACUACUGAACAUACACAUGAAAUGUAUUUUUCUACUAAAGUAAAUUUUUUUUUUCUGCUGCAGCAUUGAUGUUGGUGUCCAAUGACUUAAUUAUCCAUAAACAGCAUGGAAGAAAAUGAAAUUAAUUUUUUUCAUGGAACCUGUUAAUGCCAGGCAGGAUAAGAACAC